UACAGAGGUCCCGAGCGUUGUUCGGAUUCACUGGGCGUAAAGGGUGCGUAGGCGGUUCGCUAAGUUGGAUGUGAAAACUCUGGGCUUAACCCAGAGCCUGCAUCCAAUACUGACGAGCUAGAGUUCUGGAGGGGGUAGCGGAAUUCCUGGUGUAGCGGUGAAAUGCGUAGAUAUCAGGAGGAACACCGGUGGCGAAGGCGGCUACCUGGACAGAGUCUGACGCUGAGGCACGAAAGCUAGGGGAGCAAACAGG
rnacentral:rRNA from 1 species